rnacentral:rRNA from 1 species
CCCAGACUCCUACGGGAGGCAGCAGUGGGGAAUAUUGCACAAUGGGGGAAACCCUGAUGCAGCGACGCCGCGUGAGUGAAGAAGUAUUUCGGUAUGUAAAGCUCUAUCAGCAGGGAAGAAAAUGACGGUACCUGAUUAAGAAGCCCCGGCUAACUACGUGCCAGCAGCCGCGGUAAUACGUAGGGGGCAAGCGUUAUCCGGAUUUACUGGGUGUAAAGGGAGCGUAGACGGUGAUGCAAGUCAGAAGUGAAAGCCCGGGGCUCAACUCCGGGACUGCUUUUGAAACUGUGUGACUGGAGUGCAGGAGAGGUAAGCGGAAUUCCUGGUGUAGCGGUGAAAUGCGUAGAUAUCAGGAGGAACACCAGUGGCGAAGGCGGCUUACUGGACUGUAACUGACGUUGAGGCUCGAAAGCGUGGGGAGCAAACAGGAUUAGAUACCCCCGUAAGA